GAUGAACGCUGGCGGCGUGCUUAACACAUGCAAGUCGAACGAAGCUGUUAAAAGGAAGUCUUCGGAUGGAAUUUUAACAGACUUAGUGGCGGACGGGUGAGUAACGCGUGGAUAACCUGCCUUAUACAGGGGGAUAACGGAGAGAAAUUUCCGCUAAGACCGCAUAAGACCACAGCACCGCAUGGUGCAGGGGUAAAAUAUUAAUAGGUAUAAGAUGGAUCCGCGUCCGAUUAGCUGGUUGGUGAGGUAGAGGCUCACCAAGGCGACGAUCGGUAGCCGGCCUGAGAGGGUGAACGGCCACAUUGGGACUGAGACACGGCCCAAACUCCUACGGGAGGCAGCAGUGGGGAAUAUUGGACAAUGGGGGAAACCCUGAUCCAGCGACGCCGCGUGGGUGAAGAAAGUAUUUUCGGUAUGUAAAAGCUCUAUCAGCCAGGGAAAG
rnacentral:rRNA from 1 species